rnacentral:rRNA from 1 species
GACGAACGCUGGCGGCGUGCUUAACACAUGCAAGUCGAACGGAAAGGCCCUGCUUUUGUGGGGUGCUCGAGUGGCGAACGGGUGAGUAACACGUGAGUAACCUGCCCUUGACUUUGGGAUAACUUCAGGAAACUGGGGCUAAUACCGGAUAGGAGCUCCUGCUGCAUGGUGGGGGUGGGAAAGUUUCGGCGGUUGGGGAUGGACUCGCGGCUUAUCAGCUUGUUGGUGGGGUAGUGGCUUACCAAGGCUUUGACGGGUAGCCGGCCUGAGAGGGUGACCGGCCCCAUUGGGCCUGAGAUACGGCCCAGACUCCUACGGGAGGCAGCAGUGGGGAAUAUUGCACAAUGGGCGGAAGCCUGAUGCAGCAACGCCGCGUGCGGGAUGACGGCCUUCGGGUUGUAAACCGCUUUCGCCUGUGACGAAGCGUGAGUGACGGUAAUGGGUAAAGAAGCACCGGCUAACUACGUG